rnacentral:rRNA from 1 species
GACGUAGGGUCCAAGCGUUGUCCGGAUUUACUGGGCGUAAAGAGCGCGUAGGCGGUCUGUUAAGUGUAGAGUGAAAUCUCCAGGGCUCAACCCGGAAACUGCUCUGCAUACUGGCAGACUGGAGUGAUGCAGAGGUUUGUGGAAUUCCUGGUGUAACGGUGAAAUGUGUUGAUAUCAGGAGGAACACCCAUGGCGAAGGCAGCAAACUGGGCAUUAACUGACGCUGAGGCGCGAAAGCGUGGGUAGCAAACAGG